CGUAGUAUACUUGUGUGUUACUAAAAUUGGAACGAUAUCGAGGAAGAUUAGUGUUGUCACUGUGCGAGGAUGACGGGCAAAUUUGCGAAACAUUCUAAUACAUU